rnacentral:rRNA from 1 species
AACGUAGGGUGCUAGCGUUGUCCGGAAUUACUGGGUGUAAAGGGAGCGCAGGCGGCUGUGCAAGUUGGGCGUUUAAUCUACGGGCUUAACCCGUAUCAGCGUUCAAAACUGUACAGCUUGAGUGAAGUAGAGGUAGGCGGAAUUUCCGGUGUAGCGGUGGAAUGCGUAGAUAUCGGAAGGAACACCAGUGGCGAAGGCGGCCUACUGGGCUUUAACUGACGCUGAGGCUCGAAAGCAUGGGUAGCAAACAGG